rnacentral:rRNA from 1 species
UACGUAGGGGGCGAGCGUUAUCCGGAUUUACUGGGUGUAAAGGGAGCGUAGACGGCCAUGCAAGCUCGGUGUGAAAGGUGCGGGCACAACCCGCAGACUGCACUGAGAACUGUAUGGCUGGAGUGCCGGAGGGGCAGGCGGAAUUCCUGGUGUAGCGGUGAAAUGCGUAGAUAUCAGGAGGAACACCAGUGGCGAAGGCGGUCUGCUGGACAGCAACUGACGCUGAGGCGCGAAAGCGUGGGGAGCAAACAGG